rnacentral:rRNA from 1 species
AUUGAACGCUGGCGGCAUGCCUUACACAUGCAAGUCGAACGGUAACAGGUCUUCGGAUGCUGACGAGUGGCGAACGGGUGAGUAAUACAUCGGAACGUGCCCGAGAGUGGGGGAUAACGAAGCGAAAGCUUUGCUAAUACCGCAUACGAUCUCAGGACGAAAGCAGGGGAUCGCAAGACCUUGCGCGAAUGGAGCGGCCGAUGGCAGAUUAGGUAGUUGGUGAGGUAAAGGCCCACCAAGCCUUCGAUCUGUAACUGGUCUGAGAGGACGACCAGCCACAGUGGGACGGAGACAGGGCCCAGACUCCUACGGGAGGCAGCAGUGGGGAAUUUUGGACAAUGGGCGCAAGCCUGAUCCAGCCAUGCCGCGUGCAGGAUGCAGGCCUUCGGGUUGUAAACUGCUUUUGUACGGAACGAAACGGCUCUUUCUAAUAAAGAGGGCUAAUGACGGUACCGUAAGAAUAAGCACCGGCUAACUACGUGCCAGCCGCCGCAGUAAGAC